AUGCUCGCUUUGGCAGCACAUAUACUAAAAAUUAGAACGAUACAGAGAAGAUUAGCAUGGUCCCUGAGCAAGGAUGACACGUAAAUUCAUAAAGCGUUCCAUAUUUUU
ensembl:snRNA LOC120093287 U6 spliceosomal RNA